rnacentral:rRNA from 1 species
UACGAAGGGUGCAAGCGUUGCUCGGAAUUAUUGGGCGUAAAGGGUUGGUAGGUGGUCUUGUUUGUCUAAGGUGAAAUCCCAGGGCUUAACCCUGGAAGUGCCUUAGAAACGGCAAGACUAGAGUUCUAGAGGGGUUUGUGGAAUUCCCGGUGUAGCGGUGAAAUGCGUAGAGAUCGGGAGGAACACCAGCGGCGAAAGGCGGCAAACUGGAUAGAUACUGACACUCAACAACGAAAGCGUGGGGAGCAAACAGGGAUUAGAUACCCCCGUGUAAGU